UAGGGAAUCUUCGGCAAUGGGGGCAACCCUGACCGAGCAACGCCGCGUGAGUGAAGAAGGUUUUCGGAUCGUAAAGCUCUGUUGUAAGUCAAGAACGAGUGUGAGAGUGGAAAGUUCACACUGUGACGGUAGCUUACCAGAAAGGGACGGCUAACUACGUGCCAGCAGCCGCGGUAAUACGUAGGUCCCGAGCGUUGUCCGGAUUUAUUGGGCGUAAAGCGAGCGCAGGCGGUUUGAUAAGUCUGAAGUUAAAGGCUGUGGCUCAACCAUAGUUCGCUUUGGAAACUGUCAAACUUGAGUGCAGAAGGGGAGAGUGGAAUUCCAUGUGUAGCGGUGAAAUGCGUAGAUAUAUGGAGGAACACCGGUGGCGAAAGCGGCUCUCUGGUCUGUAACUGACGCUGAGGCUCGAAAGCGUGGGGAGCGAACAGGAUUAGAUACCCUGGUAGUCCACGCCGUAAACGAUGAGUGCUGGGUGUUGGAUCCUUUCCGGGAUUCAGUGCCGCAGCUAACGCAUUAAGCACUCCGCCUGGGGAGUACGACCGCAAGGUU
rnacentral:rRNA from 1 species